rnacentral:rRNA from 1 species
UACGAAGGGUGCAAGCGUUAAUCGGAAUUACUGGGCGUAAAGCGCGCGUAGGUGGUUACGUAAGUCUGAUGUGAAAGCCCCGGGCUCAACCUGGGAACUGCAUUGGAGACUGCGUGGCUAGAGUGUGUGGGAGGGGGGUAGAAUUCCAAGUGUAGCGGUGAAAUGCGUAGAGAUUUGGAGGAAUACCAGUGGCGAAGGCGGCCCCCUGGCACAACACUGACGCUCAGGUGCGAAAGCGUGGGGAGCAAACAGG